AGUGAACGCUGGCGGUAGGCCUAACACAUGCAAGUCGAACGGCAGCACAGUAAGAGCUUGCUCUUACGGGUGUCGAGUGGCGGACGGGUGAGGUAUACAUCGGAAUCUACUUUUUCGUGGGGGCUAACGUAGGGAAACUUACGCUAAUACCGCAUACGACCUACGGGUGAAAGCAGGGGAUCUUCGGACCUUGCGCGAUUGAAUGAGCCGAUGUCGGAUUAGCUAGUUGGCGGGGUAAAGGCACACCAAGGCGACGAUCCGUAGCUGGUCUGAGAGGAUGAUCAGACACACUGGAGCUGAGACACGGUCCAGACUCCGACGGGAGGCAGCAGUGGGGAAUAUUGGACAAUGGGCGAAAGCCUGAUCCAGCCAUACCGCGUGGGUGAAGAAGGCGUUCGGGUUGUAAAGCCCUGUUGUUGGGAAAGAAAAGCAGCAGGUUAAUACCCCGCGGUUCUGACGGUACCCAAAGAAUAAGCACCGGCUAACUUCGUG
rnacentral:rRNA from 1 species